rnacentral:lncRNA from 1 species
AUGAUAACAUGGUGUUGUGAGCUACAGAAGGGCCAAAGAGAAGUACAUUAUUACAUUUCUUUUUCUUCCAGAUUUAUGUUCAGAUCAUCUCAGUCCUGUGUGCAUGUGGGAUGUUUAGACAGUGAAGAAAUGAAGAGGAGGGAAUUGUGUUUCUGGUGAAGACAGAGCUGUGUACAAGGAAAUACUAGAUCUGAAUUGUUCUUAUUACAAUUGUUAAAAGGUAUCAGAGCGGUAAAUAAUGCUGUUGUAUAGAAGGAAAGGCAAAUAAAGGACAGUAAACAUUUGCA